GAUGAACGCUGGCGGCGUGCCUAAUACAUGCAAGUCGAGCGAACAGACGGGGAGCUUGCUCCUCUGACGUUAGCGGCGGACGGGUGAGUAACACGUGGAUAACCUACCUAUAAGACUGGGAUAACUUCGGGAAACCGGAGCUAAUACCGGAUAAUAUAUUGAACCGCAUGGUUCAAUAGUGGAAGACGGUUUUGCUGUCACUUAUAGAUGGAUCCGCGCCGCAUUAGCUAGUUGGUAAGGUAACGGCUUACCAAGGCAACGAUGCGUAGCCGACCUGAGAGGGUGAUCGGCCACACUGGAACUGAGACACGGUCCAGACUCCUACGGGAGGCAGCAGUAGGGAAUCUUCCGCAAUGGGCGAAAGCCUGACGGAGCAACGCCGCGUGAGUGAUGAAGGUCUUCGGAUCGUAAAACUCUGUUAUUAGGGAAGAACAAAUGUGUAAGUAACUAUGCACGUCUUGACGGUACCUAAUCAGAAAGCCACGGCUAACUACGUG
rnacentral:rRNA from 1 species